AAGGCAAUACUUUCAGGGAUCACGUCUAUAGUGCUUUGAUAGUGAAAUGCAUUUCUAGAGUGUUUGGUCUCACUGUCCAUGAGGAAGAGUGAGAGUGUUUGCUUCUGAGCAUGAGGGAGACAGCGAUUAUUGUUUUUUGUCAACUGAUCGCUGUUAUUGAUGACGGUUUGCUUAGGGGGCUGGAGGAAGCAGACGUGUUCUGAGUGAG